AAACCUGUACUCAUACAAAAGAAAAGAGAACAGAGAGAAGCAUUUGGAAGAAGCACAACAUUGGAACUGUAAGAAAGGAGGUUUGGACAUUUUGGAAACUACUUGUACUGAUGUUGUAAUAAUGCAGUCUUGCUAGAAGAUGAUUUGUAGGAUUGUCAAUGUGGGAACAGGUUGGUGAAGUGUAUUCACAUUUCAGAAAGUGAGCAGCUGUUUGUCAUUAGCUGCAUCAUGCAAGAACUGUGGGUAAAAACCUCUACAUGCUUCUCAAAUGUGGGAAUGCGGCUAGUGUGGGAAUCGGUUUUUAGUCGCAUCAGCAGACUACUUGAGGAAAUUUUGCAACAAUGGAGACAGGGCAAAGGUUAGAAGUCUUUUUAGAACUACAAUCAAUGAGGAAGGAAGAGACUUUACUUUGUCCUACUGUGGAAAGGUCAUUUCAAGGACUGAGGAGUCAUGGUUGAAGACAAUCGGGUUAAGGUAUGGGCUGUGGGAGUGCUAAUGUGAAAUGGAAAAAGGGGGCAAAGUACGACGAAAAACAAGCCAAGGCGGACAGGGUUUUUGUUUUGUAAAGCCUUGUUUAUACUAUUGCCUUGCACCGCACCGCACCCGUCCACUGACUGCAUGCGCACUUCAGAGGUGUUUAAAGUCAACACGCUCACCGUUGUACUAUUUUCUGAAACGACAGGGAGCAUAUUGGAGAAAAAAAACAUCUUUAAACCAUCAGAAAGUAGCGUUGUAGUGGCAGUUUGGCUGAACAAUGUGAUGAAAUUUUUUGAGCUAUUUAAUAAUGAACUAACAUUUCUUUUCUUCUACAGGCCUAACUUUGAAAUAGAGAAAUAGAGAAAUGAGUGCUGUGAUUCAGAAAAAUUCUGCUGUGCUGGCUAGACAGCAUCCUUCUAAGGAUAAAAAAUAGUAUUUGAGAAAUUGUUUUAACCUACUGAGUAAUCUGAACUAUUAACCCGGAGACAUUUUUUGAUGAUCUUGUGAUUCAGUUGUUCUAAUCUAAAUUUAAGCGGGACAGAGGAACGGAGAUGUUUUUCUUAAAUAUAAACCAAUCGUAUUGAGACUGAUGAUAAUGAGUAAUAGAUCAUGCCAUACUGACUGUGAAGUGUACCUGAAAUCCUAUAAAACCUGUUGUAUUCCUUUGUUCGGAAAGAGAUUCUCUGGAAUUGAUGAGAACUCUCCCGGCCGUGAUUUAAGCUUUGAAGGACAAAAACUGGAGUCUCUGGUUAUUGCUGCAGCAAGUCAGGUUAGGAAACAAGGUUUAAGGGUGUCAAGACAUUGACCCAAAAUAUUAUGAGUGUCGAUUAGGAGACGCUCCGAAAGAUCAUAUGUUAUUGAGUGUCGAUUUGGAGACGCUCCCAAGUGUUAUUGAGUGUCGAUUAGGAGACGUUCCGAAAGAUCAGUAAAUUUAUUGAGUGUCGAUUAGGAGACGCCCCAGGAAUGUAACUUAAGUCAGGUGCGUCUUGGAAAAUCUACCACAACAACUUCAGAUCACUUGCAUGUGUCGUGGUGCUCACAUGUACAGCGUGGGCCAAUACUGAGCCGGUAUCCGGACGUCAACACAGAAGUGCUGUACUGUGUUCACUACGUCAACAGCAUAGGAGACUGUCAGAUGAACGAAGGUCUUACGGGUUUGGAAAGACAUGAGGAUAGGAGAACCCCUUUGGAAUGGACAAGAACCUGGAAAUGGAUGCCACAUCAUCAGAUGAAAAGAAGCAGUUGGUUACUUAUGCUUUUAUGCCUCAUCGAGUAUGUCCAAAGCCUCCACUGAGAUGGCCUUGUUGCGGUCAUGUAGCUGAGUCACCAGCAGUUCAAUACCCCAGUUGCUGAAGAACUCUACGUUAGCUCGGAGUAACACCCGCAGAUGCUUGGUGGCAUACAGCCUGCAGUUCUGUGCCAAAACAUUCAAGAAUUAUACUGCUGAUCCAUAGGGGAAAUGUAUGGCAAGAAGACAAACACGUUCAAAAGGUAGUAGGUCCGUUUCUUACGUCAGUGGCAGCAGUGAGGAUCUUUGAGAGAAUGACUCGUGCUAAACCAUCCCGGCCGUAGUCCAGCGUGGAAAUGAUCAGCUUCAGAAGAUGGUCCUGGUUCUUCAAGGAGCACAAGUUCAGCAGGCUGUCAAAACAACGAAGAAAGAAGAG